rnacentral:rRNA from 1 species
AAAUUUUCUUAAGGAACUCGGCAAAAUCCCAAUGGCCCACCAGGGCAUAUUGGAACACGGGCCUCGACUGUUUACCAAAAACAUAGCCCUCGGCCAAUAUGAAAAUAGAUGUAUAGAGGGUGAUGCCUGCCCAAUGGUUGUAUCUAAAAGCAGUUGAUAAAAGUCGACCUCGUAAGGACAAUUGAAUGGCCGCGGUAACACUGACCGUGAUAAUGUAGCGUAAUCAAUAGCCAAUUAAUUGUUGGCCAGUAUGAAUGGCGCCACGAAGGCCCCACUGUCUUAAGGAAAUUCCCAGUGAAAUUGAAUUCGUAGUGAAGAUGCUACGUCCAAUUUGUUAGACGAAAAGACCCCGUUGAGCUUUACUGGGGCACUUACACGGCCCUCGGCCUUCCCGUGCCCGGGAACCGGCCGAAUUUAAAUGGGUGGUUUAGACUAUGUGGCAGCCCCCCGCCGGGGCAGAUGAAACCCCACUCCCCCAUGUCAAAGGGGCUAACCCCCCCCCUUGGGGGGGACAGUGUAAGUAGGACAGUUUGGUUGGGGCGACCGCCUUUUAAAGAGUAACGAAGGUGCGCUUAAGGUGCGCAAUUAAUGACUGAAGCCUGACUGCGAGGGGGAUACCCCGAGCCGACACCCCCCAAGCCCGCCCGAGGGCGGCGGUGGGGUGGGCCAUAGUGACCCGUU